UACGUAGGGAGCAAGCGUUGUUCGGAUUUACUGGGCGUAAAGGGCGCGUAGGCGGCAACUCAAGUCAUCUGUGAAAUCUCCGGGCUUAACUCGGAACGGUCAGGUGAUACUGUUUUGCUAGAGUGCAGAAGGGGCAAUCGGAAUUCUUGGUGUAGCGGUGAAAUGCGUAGAUAUCAAGAGGAACACCUGAGGUGAAGACGGGUUGCUGGGCUGACACUGACGCUGAGGCGCGAAAGCCAGGGGAGCAAACGGG
rnacentral:rRNA from 1 species